CCAACCCAGUUGCAAAAAAUCGUGAACAGGGUUUGGUGUGAAUUUGUCGCCUUCGAUUGCAAACGCUACAGAAUCCAUCGACAAGCAUGACGCUGUGGUUCUUUGAAUUUCCGCAGUUUGGUCGAUUUUAGCUUGCACCGCCCCUUGGACGUGUUGAACCUGAAACUUACUGUCCACAAGGUGAAUUUCGCUAUUUAUAAAAGAUCAUGGGACCAUCACCGGAUCGACUUGGUCACUCGCUAAUAAAAAUUUAUACGCACGACUGCUUCCUGGUCUUCCUUUUAAAGGCUACCAAUCUCUUCAAAUCCAUCGCUUGCCCGUUCUCUUGUCGUCAUGGGGAAGAUGAUAAUCUCUUCUGCAGCAGAUGAACCAGAUUUUGCAGCAAUCUGUGUAAUUCUGAUCGUUGCGUUGGUUGUCAUGGCAAUCUGCUUCUCUUCACCAAGUGGAAUCCGUGUAACGGUGCGCUGCUGGCGUUGCGGUUGCCGUAGAUGCUGCUGCUAGUUACUUCUUUCAGGGAAAACGAAGCUCUGUUUCAUGAUUCCUGCAAUCUCGCGUCUGUACUUCGUCGUCAACAACCUGAAGCACUUAUCCUUGUUCCUUGAAUUUUCUUUUUCGUUCAUGAUUUUUCAUAAGCAGGACGAUUGUAUGGAACAACACCGUCGAUUCGAAAGUUGUUUGUGAAACUACCAUUUACCAAUCUGUGCAUGUUUCGAAGAAUGUAAGCAAAGGAUUCGCUUCAAAUGUUCA